GGGGCUGUAGCUCAGUGGAUAGAGCAACGGUUUCCUAAACCGUGUGCCGGAGGUUCAAGUCCUCUCAGCCCUA
rnacentral:tRNA from 1 species